UACGUAGGGGGCAAGCGUUGUCCGGAUUUAUUGGGCGUAAAGAGCGUGUAGGCGGCCAGACAGGUCAGCUGUGAAAACUCGAGGCUCAACCCUCGAGACGUCGGUUGAAACCGUAUGGCUAGAGUCCGGAAGAGGAGAGUGGAAUUCCUGGUGUAGCGGUGAAAUGCGCAGAUAUCAGGAAGAACACCCGUGGCUAAGGCGGCUCUCUAGUACGGUACUGACGCUGAGACGCGAAAGCGUGGGGAGCGAACAGG
rnacentral:rRNA from 1 species